rnacentral:rRNA from 1 species
UACAGAGGGGGCAAGCGUUGUUCGGAAUUACUGGGCGUAAAGCGUGCGCAGGCGGUUUUGUAAGCCAGAUGUGAAAUCCCCGGGCUUAACCUGGGAAUGGCAUUUGGGACUGCAAGGCUGGAGUGUGGCAGAGGAGACUGGAAUUCCUGGUGUAGCAGUGAAAUGCGUAGAUAUCAGGAGGAAUACCGAUGGCGAAGGCAGGUCUCUGGGCUGACACUGACGCUCAUGCACGAAAGCGUGGGGAGCAAACAGG